UAGAUACCCUUGGUAGUCCAUGCCGUAAACGUUGGGCACUAGGUGUGGGGGACAUUCCACGUUUUCCGCGCCGUAGCUAACGCAUUAAGUGCCCCGCCUGGGGAGUACGGCCGCAAGGCUAAAACUCAAAGGAAUUGACGGGGGCCCGCACAAGCGGCGGAGCAUGCGGAUUAAUUCGAUGCAACGCGAAGAACCUUACCAAGGCUUGACAUGGGCCGGACCGGGCUGGAAACAGUCCUUCCCCUUUGGGGCCGGUUCACAGGUGGUGCAUGGUUGUCGUCAGCUCGUGUCGUGAGAUGUUGGGUUAAGUCCCGCAACGAGCGCAACCCUCGUUCCAUGUUGCCAGCGCGUAAUGGCGGGGACUCAUGGGAGACUGCCGGGGUCAACUCGGAGGAAGGUGGGGACGACGUCAAAUCAUCAUGCCCCUUAUGUCUUGGGCUUCACGCAUGCUACAAUGGCCGGUACAAAGGGUUGCGAUACUGUGAGGUGGAGCUAAUCCCAAAAAGCCGGUCUCAGUUCGGAUUGGGGUCUGCAACUCGACCCCAUGAAGUCGGAGUCGCUAGUAAUCGCAGAUCAGCAACGCUGCGGUGAAUACGUUCCCGGGCCUUGUACACACCGCCCGUCAAGUCACGAAAGUUGGUAACACCCGAAGCCGGUGGCCUAACCCCUUGUGGGAGGGAGCUGUCGAAGGUGGGACUGGCGAUUGGGACUAAG
rnacentral:rRNA from 1 species